CCUACGGGAGGCAGCAGUGAGGAAUAUUGGUCAAUGGGCGAGAGCCUGAACCAGCCAAGUAGCGUGAAGGAAGACUGCCCUAUGGGUCGUAAACUUCUUUUGUAUGGGAAUAAAGUCCACUACGUGUAGUGGUCUUGUAUGUACCUUACGAAUAAGCAUCGCCUAAU
rnacentral:rRNA from 1 species